rnacentral:rRNA from 1 species
AAGCUGAAACUUAAAGGAAUUGACGGAAGGGCACCACCAGGAGUGGAGCCUGCGGCUUAAUUUGACUCAACACGGGGAAACUCACCCGGCCCGGACACUGUGAGGAUUGACAGAUUGAUAGCUUUUUCAUGAUUCAGUGGAUGGUGGUGCAUGGCCGUUCUUAGUUCGUGGAGUGAUUUGUCUGGUUUAUUCCGAUAACGAGCGAGACUCUAACCUACUAAAUAGUUGGUACAUACUCUUAGUGUAUACAGCUUCUUAGAGGGAUUUGCGGCAUUCAGCCGAAAGAAAUUGAGCAAUAACAGGUCUGUGAUGCCCUUAGAUGUCCGGGGCUGCACGCGCGCUACACUGGCAAAAUCAACGUGCUUGUCCUACCCCGAAAGGGGCGGGUAAACCAUUGAAAAUUUGCCGUGAUUGGGAUCGGAAAUUGCAAUUAUUUUCCGUGAACGAGGAAUUCCAAGUAAGUGCGAGUCAUCAGCUCGCGUUGAUUACGUCCCUGCCCUUUGUACACACCGCCCGUCGCUGCCCGGGACUGAGCCAUUUCGAGAAAUUUGGGGACCGUUGAUUUAAUUUUUCUAAAU